rnacentral:rRNA from 1 species
AUUGAACGCUGGCGGCAUGACACAUGCAAGUCGAACGGCAGCACCGGAGCAAUCCUGGUGGCGAGUGGCGAACGGGUGAGUAAUACAUCGGAACGUGCCCAGUAGUGGGGGAUAACCCGGCGAAAGCCGGACUAAUACCGCAUACGACCUACGGGUGAAAGCAGGGGAUCGCAAGACCUUGCGCUAUCGGAGCGGCCGAUGUCAGAUUAGCUUGUUGGUGGGGUAAAAGCCCACCAAGGCGACGAUCUGUAGCUGGUCUGAGAGGACGACCAGCCACACUGGGACUGAGACACGGCCCAGACUCCUACGGGAGGCAGCAGUGGGGAAUUUUGGACAAUGGGCGCAAGCCUGAUCCAGCCAUGCCGCGUGCGGGAAGAAGGCCUUCGGGUUGUAAACCGCUUUUGUCAGGGAAGAAAAGCUCCGGGCUAAUACCUUGGAGUCAUGACGGUACCUGAAGAAUAAGCACCGGCUAACUACGUGCCAGCAGCCGCGGUAAUACGUAGGGUGCAAGCGUUAAUCGGAAUUACUGGGCGUAAAGCGUGCGCAGGCGGCUUUGCAAGACAGAUGUGAAAUCCCCGGGCUUAACCUGGGAACUGCAUUUGUGACUGCAUGGCUGGAGUGCGGCAGAGGGGGAUGGAAUUCCGCGUGUAGCAGUGAAAUGCGUAGAUAUGCGGAGGAACACCGAUGGCGAAGGCAAUCCCCUGGGCCUGCACUGACGCUCAUGCACGAAAGCGUGGGGA